rnacentral:rRNA from 1 species
UACGUAGGGGGCGAGCGUUGUCCGGAAUCAUUGGGCGUAAAGCGCGUGUAGGCGGCUCGAUAAGUCCGGUGUGAAACCUUGGGGCUCAACCCCAAGCCUGCACUGGAUACUGCCGAGCUAGAGUCCGGGAGGGGAGAGCGGAAUUCCUAGUGUAGCGGUGAAAUGCGCAGAUAUUAGGAGGAACACCGGUGGCGAAGGCGGGUCUCUGGGCCGAUACUGACGCUGAGGAGCGAAAGCGUGGGGAGCGAACAGG